CUACCACAACUAGUAUUAAUUUAUAUAGAAAUGCUCAUGGAAGUACCCUGCAUCCUUUUCCUUAACCAUCGGCGUAACCUGAGUUUUCUUUCCUUUAAAGCAGCCGUGAUGCAGGAAAAAAAGUGCAGGGAUUACAAACAUUUACAGCACGUGACUAUUCCCUGUCGCCUUUCAGGAGUGUGGGGUCGGAUGUCUGUUGGUUCGCUGCGGGAGAUGCAAGGAAAGCACAAAGCGCACGAAAAAAAAAAAAAAAAAAAUCUUUAGUGUAUAAUAAUACGUACUUAUAAAUAUUUAAAUGUCUUAAUUCUGAAUCGGCGCUUAGUAGUAGAUGCACUGAAGUUGAUAUGAUGCUCGCUUUAUGAGAUUACUUUUGUCUUGCCUCCUACUCAAGAAUCCUUACGAAAAAAAAAAUAAUGGUAAUAAAUAAAACUAUUUUGGCAUCUUUUGUAAUUUCUCUUAUAUUUAGUACUAUAACAAGAUUUAGAAUUUCACAUCGUCUUUUCUGCUGCUUCACAAAGGCAACACACAUUCUGCAAAAAAGUGGUCGUGAUUUGGGCGACUGAAGUACCCAGCAGGGGUGUUGCCGGGAGCUCCCCUUGCUGGGAUGGAUGGAUGGAUGAUGUGCAGCUUCGCACGUAACUCUCUUGAGGGUGCUGCAUGCCGUAUUUUGUGUAUUUAAGGACAAACCUCCAACUUGGCCAUGAGUGACCAGAAGUUAUCUGAAUUUUCAUUCUUUUAUUUCUCUCAUGCAAAGUUUCCUUUUAUAUUCUCAAAGUCGUUUUCGUGGAGGAAGAACAGAAAAAGAAAGUUUUUGUUUGAUUUAGAUUAUGUAUAUUUCUUAGUCUCUUCACAUUUUUUUUUUUUUUUUUUUAUAUAAUGACAGAUUGCACAAACUUGGCAGUGCAUAUGGCGGCCUGGUUUUUGUCAAGUGUCAAACGAACAAGCCGCUGCAUCGCAUCAGUAAGGAAAUGUAUCACUGACACGAGUCCAUUAGAUCUUCAAUGGUCAGGACUUCUUGUCAGCAUGGCAACAGCCAGUACUCUGUUUAUAGAAGAAAUUUGUUUUUAUGGAAGAUGAAUAAUUCAUUGGCGUAGAUGCAGGAAGCGCAUAUUGUUGUAAUAGGAGUGUAACAACUGGUCUUGUGUUCCACAGCAUAUGCCUGCAUCACGAAGUACAAGAUCCACAAAGCCCGCCGUGGCAUAGCGCAGUUUAGCAUUUUCUUUUCUUUUUUUCAGUUUUACCUUUACAUUAUAAACUGGUAAAGAUGGAGAGACCUUUGAUCAUGUGCUGAUUAGCUUUCUCACAGCGAGUAGGUAUUAGUUUUUAUCUAUCAUGAUUUGUAAGAUUAAUCAAAAAGAUCUUUACCGUAUACCAUGGUACAGGACAUCUUGGCUUCUGCUUUCAUUUCUAACGUUACUUAAUCAAAGUCGGCGAAGGCGUUGGGACGUUGAUCUUGCGUUGCUAAGCUGUAUGGUCAGUACUUAGGUUCCCUAUCUGUGACCUUGAUGGUUAUGGGGCUAUUCUCUCAAAUUCUGGGGCAUGGUCACUGCAUUAUCUAGGUUACUACAUUUACGCUUCCUUGUGUUGCCUUGGUAAGGGAAAUAAUCUGCUGCCAUGAGUGUUUCACAGCAUGUUUUAAGUUUCACUGAAGAACAACACUUUUUUUCUACUACUUCUUCAUCUCAAAAAAGAAAUAGAGAGAGAGAGAGAGAGAGAGAGAGAGAUAUUAGUCAUAUAGUCAGGCGAUAACAUCUCACUAUGGUUAAUGGCAUAUGGCAUGACGAUGAGGUUUUCACAUUUCACAGUCUCAGUAUAAGUUAUGUGUCUCGGGUCACGUCCGCACCGCCUCCUCCCUUCGCACUGCACCCUCCAACCUUGAAGUGAACCUUGCUUUCUCUUCCUCACUUUACAGAGCGACGAGCUGCCUGGUACCAUCAAUGUACCUCCAAAGUAUGGAACAUCGGUAGAUUAUAAAUAUUCUUGUUCAUCUACGGCAUAAGUCUGUUCUUCCACACUUUCAGCAAUAUUUACUCUGACGAUGAUAGAUAGUAAUCAUUCAAACACAACCACCACCAUUACUACUUCUACUACUACUACUACUACUACUACUACUACUACUACUUUUUUUUCUCUUUCUCACAGUAAGUAUAACGGUCAGGCGCUGCUCGUUCCGAUCUUUGAAGACGCCCCUUCCUCACACGUGGUAGUUGGUUGUAUCCAGUGAUUCCCUUUGAUAGCAAGUUUGUUGGCACAGCUUUUCGCGACUAUCAUUUUGCCCUGUUGCACGCAUAGGAUAGAUGCAACAUGAGUGGAAGAACAUAUGUGCGUUCCAUGUUGUUUACAAGAGUGGAGAGAAUUUUGUCAAAUUUCGUGUAACCAUUUAUGCGCGAACGAGCAAAUUUUUAACUGCGUUUUCAGGUCGGAUCUUGUCAUUUUAUCAUUCACAGGCAUCGUGAUACAUUCAUUAACAUGUUGAUAUCCUUAUACUUCAUGCAAGUCAUAUUAACCUUUCUUUACGAAGCCCUGAGUUACUGAGUGGUUACGGGCUGUGGUUGCAGCUAAUGCCACUGUGUGAAAGUCCUAUUUUGAAACUUAAGUUGUGGCAGCUGAAUGCGCUAACUAGCAAUUACCAAAGUAGUUGUCAGUUGUGGAAGACCUUAUUGUUGUGCCGAAAAAUUGCUGCAAUUGAUUGCUUUUACUAGUUGCCUUGGUAGUGGUUUAAUAUUUAGCUCAGGCAUCAUCUUGUGCUUUGCUUGAGUUUAGCGCAGUUAGCUCGUAAAACUAAUGCUUCGUCAUCUCACCAAAUUAUUUGGUGUACGCAAAUGUGUAGGAUCACUAAAGCACAACGACCAUAGAAACCUUCACCAACUGUUAGUGGAACGUGGCUACAGGAGCACCUAUGAAUUUUUCCUUCUUUGAUUGUGUAAGCGCGCAACCUGCUGCUGUUGCUGCUGGUGUUUCAUCCUUCUCAGUAAUUUCUGAUUUCAUCAUCAGUCGUAAUGAUGAAGCGUGAAAAUUUCAUAUGCUCAGUGUGUGUGUGUGUGUGUGUGUGUGUGUGUGUGUGUGUGUGUGUGUGUGUGUGUAUGUGAAAUCAUGCUGCAGGCUAGGUUAGGUUAGGUGGGCGCUUUGGUCAAUGAAGAGUUAUGGAAGUGCUUCUUUUUAUUCCAUCAGUUGUUGACUGCUAAAUGUGUUUACUUAGCGAUAACUUUUUGUUUUAUAAUGUAUGUUAUGAUUAAAGAUCAAUGAAAAAAAGAGAAAAAAAAAAAGAAAGUUCGGGAUUUUUGGAAGAGCAAUACGCAAUGCACCCCCACGUAGCAUGUGUGUGCGUCACCUGGGGCAAACAUGUCGUAAGUUGGCCAGGCAUGAUGCUACAGUAUUAGUUGGAAUGGGUGAACACCAUUACUUUCACCCUCCACGCACUAUCACCACCGUCAUCAGUAGCACUGUUGCCUGCACAGUAAGCCGUCAUUUUCAACCUUAUUUUCAUGGCAACAAAGCUUAUACACUGUAUCCUACCGAACAUAGUUGCUGUGGGAUUCUCCUCCGUUAUAAUUGCAUGAUAUGUUGAUGGUUUAUUUAACACAGUAAUAUUUGUCGUCACAAUUUAAGGUACGUACCUACAAAGUGCGAAAACCUUCCUGGCAAGAUUGCUUUACCUCUACCGUGGCGCAAUCACCGCCAGGUCGCUAUUCAGAACUGAAUGAGUCAUGUUGGACAUUACACAUUUCCUGUACACAGAUGUUCCGCUAAAGAAGUAUGCAACUCAAAUAUCUAAGAAUCCUCACAGGAGAGAUACAAGAAAUUUCUACCUACUCGUAGAAACAAAUUAACAACCAGAGUGGCAGUAAGUGGACGGCAUGGCCUGGGACAGAGCUGAUGAAGUCAUGGCUUUCCGGUUUUUUAUGUCAUCAUCGAUUACUUUGAGCAAUUUGACUUACCUUGCACAUAUCCACCCGAGUGAUGACUUUACAGAAGUGGAUAUACAUACAUAUGUGGAAUCAUUAGCUCUAGUCUCGGUCAAUGUAUAUUUUUGUAGAAACCCUUUGUAUAAAUUAUAUUUAACUUUUUGGACACGACAGUCGCUAAUUUGUCUCCGAGCUGAGUAAAAUUAACAGAAAAUUCCCAAUAUAGAAAUGUGAUUAAUUCUGCCACCCACUAGUGCAGCAAAAAGUAGAUGUGGACAUCUACAGUUUCGGUCAAGUUUUUGCUGCCCCAAUGAAGCCAUGCAACAAUUAGGUUUUAUCGAUUUUUGGGUAAAAUUCUCUCUCUCUCUCUCUCUCUCUCUCUCUCUCUCUCUCUCUCUCAGAACAUAACACAUAAAAACAAUCGUGUGAACCAGCCAGGUAUGAAGCUUCAAACUUUCAGGAACACUUGAUUCGCGUUAUUGUUUGGAUGCUUGUACUGUAUAUUCCAGUAACAUGGUUUACUGUCUCUACUGUAGUGAAUUAUAUUGAUGUGAACUCAUUUUGUAUGGUAAAUCACAGUUUUAUGUGCUACAUCGACAGAUGUAUUUCUGGAUAAGUUAUUUGAAUCAUAUCUCAAAUCGUUAUGGCGCACCUCAAUCCUCAUAGAAGUUCAUAGAAGUCUCCUACAAACUCUACUUAUAUUUUAGCAGUGAAACGGUGUCUUAUUUAUGAUUGUACGAAUACAUUUUAUUAUGUUUCUUCUAUAGUACUUCGAAGAUUUAGGUAUUUUAUCCCCAAUGGUUUAGUUUGAAUGCAUUGAUGUGAUACGGAAAAAAAAUCGGUCCUCUCUGAGGAAGACAUAUCUGAAUCGAAUCACAACCGAAUCGUUUUAGGAAAGGAUUCCGAUCAAAUUUUGUUUCCAGUUUACUAUUCAACCCUCUUGUCAGAAUGAUUCUUAGUGCUUAUAGUUUUAUCUCAUUUAUUGGCUACUGCAGUACCCAAUGACUAGAACGUCGCCAUUUCUGUAGGGAAUCCGGAGGAGAGUGCAAGUGACAUUGAUUAGGUACGACGGAGAAAUCAAGAUUGGGGUAUGGAUGUUCAUAUUAUAGAAAGUAUUACUUGUUAGUUAUACCCAAGUGAGUGGAACGUCGCCAUUUCUAUAGAGGAUCUUGAGAUAGUGGAAAGACCAGAACACAUUGAAGGGAAGAAGGACCUAUCAAACUAUACAAAGCGGAAGAGGUAACAAGAAUUGUGAGAAGUGUUAAGGUCUAUCCACACCAGGAAACAUAGUUUUGGAAACAGCUUGCAAACUGGGUACCUCACUCAUUCUCACUCUGGGAGAUGUUACCUGAGGCAGUAGCAUUGCAGGUGUGGGCAGGUGAACAUCCUCUCUUUCCUGCCAGCAGAAAAUUCCUUCAUCUCCCUGUACCAAAUGGACAAUGAGAAAACCAAGAAAGUAUUCUGCACUCUAAGAGAUUGGCUGCCUGAGGGAGUCUAAACAGUGUCAAGCCUACAAGAGCAGCUGCAUUGUAGGAAGCUGGCUGCCUGAGGGAGUCUGAAUGUCAAGCCUACAAGAACAGCUGCAUUGCAGGAAGUUGGCUGCCAGAGGGAGUCAAUGUCAAGCCUACAAGAGCAGCUUGGGAUAUACUUACAUGUUUUUUUUUUUUUUUUUUUUAAACCACCAAACUUGAGAAUAAAUCCAUAGUGCAGAACAAAUCAACCUCAUCACAAAGUAAACGCUUAAAAAUUAGCUAUUAUCAUGUACAGUAUGAUAAAAACUGAAUAUCUGCAGUUCAUCUUUGAUCUAUAGCAUACUGAUUUUUACUGUUCCUCCAUCAUUAUUCAAUUAAAGAGCACCUGGAAACUUCACGUCUGCAACCUGGUCAAGUCUGCGACCUACAAACUACACCUUCUCCGGCGACUCAAGACCCUGGGAACCCCCGUUGGUGAGCUAGCAGGAGUGUAUUCUUGCUUUAUCCUGCUGAAGCUCACAUAUGCAUCCCCUGCAUGGUCUAGCUCACUGAUCCCCUCACCCAGCGCCCCCAACUGGAGACAGUACAAAAACGGGCAUGUCGGCUGAUCUUGGGUAGCAACUAUACCAGCUACCAAGACGCCCUGAAGCUCAACACCCUGCAGGACCGCCACAAACUACUCUUGGAACAGAUGGGCUGCCGGCUGCUGCACCACCCCCGCCACCACCACCUCCCCACUGCACCGCGUCCUCGUACCUCGGUGAGGCACGCCAACACACUCGUGCCCAUCAGAGCCAGAACUGACCGCUACAAAAAGAGUCCUGUGCCAGCCAUGGUACAGGCAAUAAACACACUAACAAACUGCAUUCGUUUAUUCUUGUAUAAUAUUAAGUUAUUCUUGUAUAAUAUUUAGUGUUUGUUUUGUUUUCCAGUUUGUACAAAUACAUCCAACCCUUUCCUGUAAAUUUUCAGCCUUUGGGCUGCAAUGUCUAAUAAACUGUAUUAUUAUUAUUA